AUAUAUAUAAAUAUAUAUUUAUAUAUGUAUAUAUAUUUAAAAUAAUAUUUUAUUUAUAAAUAUAUUUAUUAUAUAAUAUUUUAUAUCUAUUAAUUUAUUUUAUAGUAUUAAAUAUAUAUUAUUAAAUAUUAUAUUAUAUAUUUAAUUAUUGCAUAAUAUAUUUUAAAUAUUUUUUAUUUUAAAUAUAAACUAUAAUAUUAAUAUAUAUAAUAUGAUAAUAAUUAUAUAUUAAUAAUAUAAAAUAUGUAAAAUAAAAAAAAAUAUAUAAUAAUUUUUAUUUAUAAUUUUUUUUUCCUUUCAACCAAACAACCGUCGUGGAAAACUACUUUUCUUUUCCUACAAACCAAACAUAAACGACGUAAAACAUUUUUUCCACUGAUAAUUUUUUUUCCAUCGAAAAUUUUUUUUCCACAGUUUUACGUGGAACCAAACACACCCUCAGGACAAUUCCGAGCGAAAUGACCCUUCUUCUUGC
rnacentral:lncRNA from 1 species